CGCUGUUCGAUCGACACAUCACAUACAAAAACGAUGGGAAACUGCUGUCAAGCUAGAGACGUUGGACCUCCACCCAAUGCCACUAUUACUGUCAUCGCAAGGGUGGUUAAUUACGCUGGAAAGGAGGACUUUACAAUCGAGGUGAACGGAUUCCACACUAUCGCUGAAAUGAAGGAGCUCC
rnacentral:ribozyme from 1 species